CAGUCGCCACGGUAAUACGGGAGGUGCAAGCGUUAUUCGGAUUGAUUGGGUGUAAAGGGUGUGCAGACGGCUUAUUAAGUCACUUGUUAAAUUCUUCGGCCUAACUGAAGGUCUGCAAGUGAUACUGAUGAGCUAGAGGGUGGAAGAGAGAAGUGGAAUUCUCGGAGUAGCGGUAAAAUGCGUAGAUCUCGAGAGGAACACCAAUGGCGAAGGCAGCUUCUCGGUCCAUUCCUGACGUUCAUACACGAAAGCGUGGGGAGCAAACAGGAUUAGAUACCCCAGUAGUCCCUGUCUCUUAUAC
rnacentral:rRNA from 1 species